rnacentral:rRNA from 1 species
CGUGAGUGAUGAAGGUUUUCGCAUCGUAAAACUCUGUUGUUAGGGAAGAACAAGUGCAUAUAACUGAUGGCACCUUGACGGUACCUAACCAGAAAGCCACGGCUAACUACGUGCCAGCAGCCGCGGUAAUACGUAGGUGGCAAGCGUUGUCCGGAAUUAUUGGGCGUAAAGCGCUCGCAGGCGGUUCUUUAAGUCUGAUGUGAAAUCUUACGGCUCAACCGUAAACGUGCAUUGGAAACUGGGGAACUUGAGUGCAGAACAGGAGAGUGGAAUUCCACGUGUAGCGGUGAAAUGCGUAGAGAUGUGGAGGAACACCAGUGGCGAACGCGACUCUCUGGUCUGUAACUGACGCUGAGGAGCGAAAGCGUGGGGAGCGAACAGGAUUAGAUACCCUGGUAGUCCACGCCGUAAACGAUGAGUGCUAAGGUGUCAGGGGGUCACCGCCCCUUAGUGCUGAAGUUAACGCCUUUCG